GCAUGCAAGUCGCACGCAGGGAAGCGUAAGCUGCCUGAGUGGCGCACGGCUGAGGAUCACGUGGGAACAUGCCUCCUUGUGGGGGACAACACCGCGAAAGCGGUGCUAAUCCCGCAUACGCUCGGGCAACCGAGGAAAGCGGUAACGCGCAGGGAGAGUGGCCCGCGGCCCAUCAGGUCGUUGGUGGGGUAAUGGCCUACCAAGCCGGUGACGGGUAGCUGGUCUGUGAGGACAGACAGCCAGACUGGGACUGAGACACGGCCCAGACUCCUACGGGAGGCAGCAGCAAGGAAUUUUCGUCAAUGGGCGCAAGCCUGAACGAGCAACGCCGCGUGGAGGAUGACGGCCUUCGGGUUGUAAACUCCUUUUUCGGGGGACGAUAAUGACGGUACCCCGGGAAUAAGGCUCGGCUAACUCUGUGCCAGCAGCCGCGGUAAUACAGAGGAGCCAAGCGUUGUCCGGAUUGACUGGGCGUAAAGCGCACGCAGGCGGAUGCGCGCGUGGGGUGUGAAAUCUGGCCGCUUAACGGCCAGGCGCCAUCCCAUACGGCGCGUCUGGAGGGAUGCAGAGGUCGAUGGAAUUGCCGGUGUAGUGGUGAAAUGCGUAGAGAUCGGCAGGAACACCCAGGGGAAACCAGUCGACUGGGCAUCACCUGACGCUGAGGUGCGAGAGCGUGGGGAGCGAACCGGAUUAGAUACCCGGGUAGUCCACGCCGUAAACGAUGGCCACUCGGCCUUUGGUGCCAGAUUCUCUGGCGCUGGGGGCCUUAGCUAACGCGGGAAGUGGCCCGCCUGGGAACUACGA
rnacentral:rRNA from 1 species